CCCCUUGAAACCGGCCCGCCCGCCCGCCUAUAUUGAGCCUGUCCGGGGCGACCCGGACUAUGGGCAUAAACGCGCACGGAAUAAGCGGAUCGGACCCGGGGGCGGUACCCGGCGGCUCCACCAGAAUCCCUCGUUGGGGGCACAUGGGGCCGAAACAGGAUCGACGAACGUCUAAAGGUGUCUGCUUUGUCCCGGUGAGCUACCACCGUUAUCGGUGCGAAAAGUACAGUUGCCAACGACAACCGUGCUCCGGUCGCUCUGGCUGCGUAAGCAGCUCGGGUAACCGAAACCUGAAGCCCUUGCGCUUAGCCGCGCAAGGCGGGGCUCGCAGGCGCCUGGCAACAGAAGCCUGCACC
rnacentral:tmRNA from 1 species